rnacentral:rRNA from 1 species
UGUUGUUUUCUCGAAAAUCAAUUAAAAAUGACCGGAUUUUGUGUUGUAUUGACUUUAUCAGCUUUCUGCACUUUUUUCUUGUCUUUUUUAAUGCACUUUUCGUUUAACAAGUCAACAUCAAUUUCUUUUGUUGUAAAAGGGUCAUUGGAAGGUGGCUUUCAUUUCGGUGAAAGUGUUUAUAGCCUUUGACUUCUGCAAUCGGAGAGAUUGAGGUCUGCAGCGUAGAUCCUUCGGGGUUAGAUACAUUUGUGCUAAGUUAUAGUUUUUCAUAGACAACAUGUUGACUAUGAUUAAUCAUGUAGCUUACUCGCUUAUGCUAUUUUACCUAC